UCGAGAAUAAUUCGCAAUGGACGAAAGUCUGACGAUGCGACGCCGCGUGAACGAUGAAGGCCUUCGGGUUGUAACGUUCUGUUGUCCUGGAACAAGAGUAGGUAACGAAUAAUUACCUACGAUGAGGGUACAGGAAGAGGAAGCACCGGCUAAUUCCGUGCCAGCAGCUGCGGUAAUACGGAAGGUGCAAGCGUUAGUCGGAAUUACUGGGCGUAAAGGGUGCGUAGGCGGUGAUGUAAGUCGGACGUGAAAUUCCGGAGCUCAACUUCGGAACUGCAUUCGAAACUACAUCACUAGAGGAAUGGCGGAGAAAAUGGAAUUCCAUAUGUAGCGGUGAAAUGCGUAGAUAUAUGGAAGAACACCUGUGGCGAAAGCGGUUUUCUAGCCUUCUCCUGACGCUGAGGCACGAAAGCAAGGGGAGCAAACAGG
rnacentral:rRNA from 1 species